rnacentral:lncRNA from 1 species
AUUGUCUCCCUUUAAACAAACAAAGCCUAUGUAUAUAUCCAUAGAGCUCAUUAAAAGUCACAAAGUCCAAAUAAACGUUUGCAAAUUAAAUACUUUAAAGGUGGUCUAAUGGUUAAAACUUCUAAGACUGUAGUAAAUGUUUAUGGUUAAGUCUCUAUUCAAAAAAAAAAAUGUUUAUGGUUAGUCACUGUAGAUGUUUUAAAUGACAAGUUCAACGGAAUCCGGGUUUCGGUAGGAUUCCCGAAA